rnacentral:lncRNA from 1 species
AGGAGUGAGUCACUGCGCCUGGCCAAAUUGUGAUAUUUUAAGUGUAAACUAUCUCAAUGGGAAUAUUGAUAACAAUUCAUAUAUAUUUUUUAAACUGCAUGACCCAAAUGAAACAGGUCUGUGUGCCUGAUUUGCAGCCUCUGGACUAUUAUGUGCAAGUGGAAUCCUGUGGCUUGGGGUCAGGAAGCAAUGCUGCAGGCCUCUGGGUAAGGGAUGGGGACUUCCCCGAAUGGAGUGGGAAUUCCCACUGCCGGUCCUUCUGGAAAGUGGCCUGUCCUAGGACAGGAACUGAGGAACAGGGAGGCAGAGUUUGCCUCCCAUGGGUGGAGGAGCUCCUUCUCUCACCGAGUCUCUGGAGGGCUGCCCUGCAUGGUCGGGGGCAGGUGUGCUCACAGCACCCUGGUGGGGCAGGCCCUGCUCCAGGGAGGCAAGCUCGGGGGGCCUGACUGAGCGGCAGCAGUAGCAGCCCCAAGUCCCCCUGUUUUGAGCGUCCCUUCUGCUGACACUUCAAACAAUGCCUGGUUAAAGGUUAUAGCCCAGCUUAAGCUGGGUGCGGAGAGGAAUGAGGUGGAGCAGAGGAGAAGGUGGGGAGCGCGUGCUCCUUCUGCAAGGCCUAAGUCAGGGGACUCAGUGGCACCAGAACAGUGGUCAUCUUGGGAGUGCCAACAGCUGGGAAGGCAGUCCUGGUCGCUCAGGAGCGGGGAAGAAGAGCAGACGCUCAGACACACGUGGUUGAAGCCGGGCCCUUCGUUUGAAGAAAUGACAAUAGAUGUUUGCCUGGAGUUUUAGCGUUUACAAAGUGAUCCACUAACACCGUCUCAUGGAAUCUUCACAUCAACGGUGGGGAGAAGGGUAUGGUGGCUGGCUUAUGCCUGUGGUCCCAGCUACUCAGGAGGCUGAAGCAGGAGGAUUGCUGGAGCCCAGGGGUUUGAGGCUGCAGUGAGCUAUGAUUGUGCCAUUGCACUUCAGCCUGGGCCACAGAGUGAGAACCCCACUCUAAAAACAAGAAGAUGAACAAGAAGAAGGAGAAGAAGAAGAAGGAGAAGGAGAAGGAGAAGGAGGGGAAGGGGAAGGGGAAGGAGAAGGAGAAGGAGGGGAAGGGGAAGGGGAAAGGGAAGGAAAUGGAGAAAGGAAGAAGAAAAAGGAAGAAGAAGAGGAAGAGGAAAAGGAGGAAGAGAAACAAGAAGGAGAAGAAGAAGAAGAAGGAGGAGGAGGAGGAGGAGGAGGAAAUUUGGACACAGGUGCUCACAGGGAGAAGAAGGCCAUGUGGAGACAGACACAGAGGGAAGAAGAUGUGAGACAGAUGAGGGCAAUGCUGCUAACAGCCAAGGACCUCCUGGGGCUACUACACACUGGAGGAGGCGAGAAAGGGUCCUCCCUUCAGGGCUUUGGAGGGAGCACCGUCCAGCUCACACCUUGAUUUUAGACUUCCAGCCUCCGGAGUCGAGAGGGAAUGCACCGGUGUUGUUUAAGCCACCCUGCUGUGGUAUCUGUUAUGGCGGCACAGGCAGAAAUAGGGACACAAGUGCAGGUUCAGGGCAAGGUGUGCGAGCACACUCAGUCCCUGGCCUCGGAGUCUCUCUGGAUGGCUUCUUGCCUAGGGUGACUGACAGAGGGAUGGAUGAUAUGAAAAGGCAGCUGUUCUCCUCCCGACCUAACCCCAAUUCUUACUCCAUGGGUUCAUGACAGCCCAUUCUGCUGGAGACUGUGUCUUAAAACUUUCUCCCCUAGUUUCUCUCAAGUACCCCUCGUGAGCUGUGAUUUCACUGGGCUUUCAACUCUUAGGCCAUUUUCUUUGUGCCUUUCUAUCAAAGCUUUAUAUCAACUCAAACCAUGUCUAUAGUAGUUUUCCAUUUUCCUUUUUUUCUUUUUUAAUGAUUGUAAUUUUUUCAAAUGGAUUAUGUAUUUUUAUAUCUUUUUUCUUUUGAAUUUACUUCUUUUUUAAGAGCCAUUUUUUGUUUGGAGCAAAAUUGAGCAGAAAGUCCGGGGAGUUCCUCGCUGCUCCCACACACACAGCCUCCCCGCUGUCGAUAUCUGGCACCGGAGGGGUCUGACCCUUACAAGUGAGGAGCCUAUGUUGAUGCACCAUUAUCACCCAAAGCUCAUAGUUUACACGAGGGCCCACUCUUGCUGUGGAACCACGUUCCUUUUCCCCACGUGUUUUUGCAUCCCUUUUCUUUUUUCUACCUUCCCAAACCCUGUGAUGUUCGGAAGAGCUAUGAUCCCUAUUCUAUAGAGAGGACACUCAAGGAAGCAGCUGAUAAGUAGAACCAGGACUCAAACCCAGAUCUCAUAACUCUAAAUCCAGCAGUGGUAGUUUUUUCUCUUUAAUACAAUUAUGACACUCCCUUUUGAACUUGUGAUAUAUACCUGCCGCUAACACACACACACACACACACACACACACACACACACACACACACACCUUGAGAGGCUGUUGCCAAUUGUUCUUUAGGCAUCACACACAGCCCCGGCACACAGCAGGGGCUUAAUAGAUAUUCCUUACAUCGAAGUUGAAAGUCUUGUCUCAACAUUCUGCUCUCACACACUCGCCUACAAACUCAUCAAAUAAUAGAGCAUCGAUUCUCAUUCUCUCCCUCUCCCUUCCUUUUAAAUCUCCUGGGGCUUAGAAUCCAUAAUUUGUGGAAUUCCCGCAUUCCCACAGGUGUCCUGGGAGGUGGGCAGGGCCAACACUUCAGCAGCUUCUGCAACGCAGCAGACUCCUGGGCCUGAUGUGCUAGCUGCCCAUUUGCUAUGGGCCUUCGCUCCCCAGAAGCACCUCUCUGGGUAUGGGGCAAACACCCCUCAUUGCUGCAAUGCAGCCUCUGCUGGAGUGAAACAGGAUGCUUGAUUUCUAUUGCGUCAGUAGCAACACUGCCCAGAGGUCUAAGAGAGGAAGUCAGAGCAAAGCCCAUCAAAGCCCACCCAGAACAGCAGGGAAAUUCCAAGUCAUCGGUUUCUAGUUCUCCCCAUGCGUGUGGUGGCCCUGCUUUGUGGUGAGCCUCCAGGACUGUCCUGCUGUGCCUCUGAAGCACCUGCUCACAGAAGGGUGACCCAUUGAGGCAUGCAGUGGGUUGAUACAAAUGUCAACUCCAGCCCCUGUCAUCAGCUAAAGGUCAGCAAAUGAGUUCUCUGGCAUUUGGGGUCUGCAGGAGCAAGUGAGUACUGUGAACACCUGCAGUGUGGAGACCACGUCCAUCUAAUUGGCGUCUAUGGGGCCCAGUGCCAGGCUGGGCCCAAGUGUCGAUUCAGGAAGGGUGUCUCAGGAUGCAGAAGCCGCCUGAUGCGUGCAGAGGUGGAUAGGCCUUCAGCCUGCUCUCCUCCUCUGUCCUGCAGACCGGGUGAGUUAUGUUAGCCUCUGCUUUCCCUUCCUGUCCUGAGCACAGCAAUCGGGACAACCACACAUCCUCUGAGAGAUGAUAAAAAUAAUGAGACCAAGAAGACUGCACCCAAAUCGAUGUUUUGUCUUUGCGCAGACCCCAUAGUGUGUCUUGUGCUGCAGAGGGAAGCACCUGGCAUCUUGGGGCCUCUUCUCUGCCCCCUCCCCACUUUGGGGAGGGGUUUUGUCGGGGGCAGCCUCCAUCCUUUGGAAUCCUGUCUGUGCUCUGAUUCUCCCUGAUGGUCUUUAUAGCUUUGCAUUAUUUUGCUUUCAGAGAACAGAGAAAUGUGAAUAAGAACAGAAACAUGGCACCGGUGUCCUCAGCUUCUUCCCCACCUUCACAGAACUGCUGCUGCAAACUAGUAGUUUUGAGAAAUGAUGAAAAACCUGUGGUUUUCCCCAAAUUCCAAGAAUCAGAGGCAGAUUCUAGGAGGGUGAAGAUGGUGUGGGCUCAAAAAUGGUCAUGCGGCACAUCUUCUGAGGAGAUAUGCUGCCCAUUAAAAGGGCAAAACAGGAGUUGGUGUGUGGGCAGUUCCCGCAUCACACAUAAAGGCUUCACCAGUGAGGCUCAGCCCAGGAACUGCCUGCCCUUGAGGCUGGGGGCUCACAAAGAAAGCUUUCCCCCAGCUUCUGAUGUCCAUGAAGAGCAGAGAGCAUGCUGGUGGUGAUUCAUAACCCCCUGAAAUGUAUCCUCAGUUUGCCAGAGAAAAAUUUCUAGGACCCACCUAAUAAGUUCAUUCAUUGGUUCCCAGACUCGGCAGGUUUUACCAGAUCCCUCACGACUGGUCCCAGCUUCUCUCCCAGCACAUUACUUGAAGGUACACAAAUAGUCCACUGUGCUUUGUUUCCUCUGUUUCUUCCAAUUCUCUCUUCUGCUUGACCAGCUUGUACUUGAAGAUCUAGGUUUUGGGAGAUUCCCGGGAUUGCUGCCAGGCACUGCCUGCCCCCAUCUGAGUAAGGGGUGUAAACCCCAAGAGUAUCUGAGACAAGUGUCAGUUAAUCUAGGAUUGUAUAUUGCCAAGGUUAAGAACAUGCCCAGGACACAGCCUUGGGAGGUCCUGACCACAUGUGCCCAAGGUAGUGGGCCUACAACUUGGUUUUAUACAUUUUAGGGAGACAUAAGCCAUCAAUCAAUACAUGUAACAUGUACAUUGUUUUGGUCUGGAAAGUUGGGACAACCGGAAGGGGGAGCUUCCAGGUCACAGUCAGAUUCAAAGACUUCCUGACUGGCAGUUGAUUGAGUUAUUAUCUAAAGACCUGGAAUCAAGAGAAAGGAAUGUCUGGGUGAUGGUAAGGGGUUGUAGAGAUUAAGGUUUUGUCAUGCCGAUGAAGCCUCCAGGUAACAGGCUUCAGAGAGAAUAGGUCAUAAAUGUUUCUACUCAGACUUAAAGAGGCUGUUCUAUCAGUCAUUCCUAAAGGAAGGAGGGUAUCAAGAGGCUGUUCUAUCAGUAAUUCCUAAAGGAAGGAGGGUAUCAAGACGCACGUCUGGCUCCCCCUUCCCCUCAUGACCUGAACUAGUUUUAUAGGUUAACUUUGGAAUGCCUUGGCUGAGGGGCCAUGCAUUCAGAUGGUUGGGGGCCUUAGAAUUUUCUUUUUGGUUUACAGGGACUUGCACUCACAGUGGCCUGGCUGUCUGUCUGUCUGUCUAACCUGGCAUUAUGCACACACUUUGAGUUAUCUUAUUCCUGCUCUGUGUUCUCAUUGCAUGAGAUCCUUGGGUGCAGGAACUACGUCUCCUCCUUGUUCUCCAGAGUACAAAUUUUUCUUUCAAUAACUGUGCACUGAGCUCCAAUUUUGUUCCAAUGGCUGUGCUAAGCUCUGUAGAUGAAGUCGAAAAAAAUAAAGAAGUAAAGACA